rnacentral:rRNA from 1 species
GGUUACUGCUAUCGGGGUCCGACUAAGCCAUGCGAGUUGAGAGGGGUAAGCCCUCGGCAUACUGCUCAGUAACACGCGGAUAACCUGCCCUUGGGUCCGGGAUAACCCCGGGAAACUGGGACUAAUACCGGAUAGAUCAGAGAAACUGGAAUGUUCUCUGGUUCAAAACUCCGGUGCCCAAGGAUGGGUCUGCGGCCUAUCAGGUAGUAGUGGGUGUAACGUACCUACUAGCCAGCGACGGGUAAGGGUUGUGAGAGCAAGAUCCCUGAGAUGGAUUCUGAGACAUGAAUCCAGGCCCUACGGGGUGCAGCAGGCGCGAAAACUUUACACUGCGGGAAACCGCGAUAAGGGGACCCCGAGUGCCAGCACCUAGUGCUGGCUGUCCUACUGUCUAAAUAACAGUGGUUAGCAAGGGCCGGGCAAGACCGGUGCCAGCCGCCGCGGUAACACCGGCGGCCCGAGUGGUAACCGUUUUUAUUGGGUUUAAAGGGUCCGUAGCCGGCUUACUAAGUCUCUUGGGAAAUCUGGCGGCUCAAUCGUCAGGCGGCCAAGAGAUACUGGUAGGCUUGGGACCGGGAGAGGUGGGAGGUACUCCAGGGGUAGGGGUGAAAUCUCGUAAUCCUUGGGGGACCACCGAUGGCGAAGGCAUCCCACCAGAACGGGUCCGACGGUGAGGGACGAAAGCUGGGGGCACGAACCGGAUUAGAUACCCGGGUAGUCCCAGCUGUAAACGAUGCUCGCUAGGUGUCAGGUGCGGUGCGACCGCAUCUGGUGCCGCAGUGAAAACUUGAAGCGAGUCACCUGGGAAGUACGGUCGCAAGGCUGAAACUUAAAGGAAUUGGCGGGGGAGCACUACAACGGGUGGAGCCUGCGGUUC